rnacentral:rRNA from 1 species
GGUUAAGCGACUAAGCGUACACGGUGGAUGCCCUGGCAGUCAGAGGCGAUGAAGGACGUGCUAAUCUGCGAAAAGCGCCGGCGAGGUGAUAUGAACCUUUGACCCGGCGAUGUCCGAAUGGGGAAACCCAGUGUGUUCCGACACACUAUCGUUAACUGAAUACAUAGGUUAACGAGGCGAACCGGGGGAACUGAAACAUCUAAGUACCCCGAGGAAAAGAAAUCAACCGAGAUUCCCCCAGUAGCGGCGAGCGAACGGGGAGCAGCCCAGAGUCUGAAUCAGCUUGUGUGUUAGUGGAAGCGUCUGGAAAGUCGCACGGUACAGGGUGACAGUCCCGUACACGAAAGCACACAGGUUGUGAACUCGAAGAGUAGGGCGGGACACGUGGUAUCCUGUCUGAAUAUGGGGGGACCAUCCUCCAAGGCUAAAUACUCCUGACUGACCGAUAGUGAACCAGUACCGUGAGGGAAAGGCGAAAAGAACCCCGGCGAGGGGAGUGAAAAAGAACCUGAAACCGUGUACGUACAAGCAGUGGGAGCACCUUCGUGGUGUGACUGCGUACCUUUUGUAUAAUGGGUCAGCGACUUAUAUUCUGUAGCAAGGUUAACCGUAUAGGGGAGCCGAAGGGAAACCGAGUCUUAACUGGGCGUUAAGUUGCAGGGUAUAGACCCGAAACCCGGUGAUCUAGCCAUGGGCAGGUUGAAGGUUGGGUAACACUAACUGGAGGACCGAACCGACUAAUGUUGAAAAAUUAGCGGAUGACUUGUGGCUGGGGGUGAAAGGCCAAUCAAACCGGGAGAUAGCUGGUUCUCCCCGAAAGCUAUUUAGGUAGCGCCUCGUGAACUCAUCUUCGGGGGUAGAGCACUGUUUCGGCUAGGGGGCCAUCCCGGCUUACCAACCCGAUGCAAACUACGAAUACCGAAGAAUGUUAUCACGGGAGACACACGGCGGGUGCUAACGUCCGUCGUGAAGAGGGAAACAACCCAGACCGCCAGCUAAGGUCCCAAAGUCAUGGUUAAGUGGGAAACGAUGUGGGAAGGCACAGACAGCCAGGAUGUUGGCUUAGAAGCAGCCAUCAUUUAAAGAAAGCGUAAUAGCUCACUGGUCGAGUCGGCCUGCGCGGAAGAUGUAACGGGGCUAAACCAUGCACCGAAGCUGCGGCAGCGACGCUUAUGCGUUGUUGGGUAGGGGAGCGUUCUGUAAGCCGUUGAAGGUGUGCUGUGAGGCAUGCUGGAGGUAUCAGAAGUGCGAAUGCUGACAUAAGUAACGAUAAAGCGGGUGAAAAGCCCGCUCGCCGGAAGACCAAGGGUUCCUGUCCAACGUUAAUCGGGGCAGGGUGAGUCGACCCCUAAGGCGAGGCCGAAAGGCGUAGUCGAUGGGAAACAGGUUAAUAUUCCUGUACUUGGUGUUACUGCGAAGGGGGGACGGAGAAGGCUAUGUUAGCCGGGCGACGGUUGUCCCGGUUUAAGCAUGUAGGCGGAACGAUUAGGUAAAUCCGGUCGUUUUUUAACGCUGAGGUGUGAUGACGAGGCACUACGGUGCUGAAGUAACAAAUGCCCUGCUUCCAGGAAAAGCCUCUAAGCAUCAGGUAACAUCAAAUCGUACCCCAAACCGACACAGGUGGUCAGGUAGAGAAUACCAAGGCGCUUGAGAGAACUCGGGUGAAGGAACUAGGCAAAAUGGUGCCGUAACUUCGGGAGAAGGCACGCUGAUAUGUAGGUGAAGCCCCUGCGGGUGGAGCUGAAAUCAGUCGAAGAUACCAGCUGGCUGCAACUGUUUAUUAAAAACACAGCACUGUGCAAACACGAAAGUGGACGUAUACGGUGUGACGCCUGCCCGGUGCCGGAAGGUUAAUUGAUGGGGUUAGCGGCAACGCGAAGCUCUUGAUCGAAGCCCCGGUAAACGGCGGCCGUAACUAUAACGGUCCUAAGGUAGCGAAAUUCCUUGUCGGGUAAGUUCCGACCUGCACGAAUGGCGUAAUGAUGGCCAGGCUGUCUCCACCCGAGACUCAGUGAAAUUGAACUCGCUGUGAAGAUGCAGUGUACCCGCGGCAAGACGGAAAGACCCCGUGAACCUUUACUAUAGCUUGACACUGAACACUGGUCCUUGAUGUGUAGGAUAGGUGGGAGGCUUUGAAGUGUGGACGCCAGUCUGCAUGGAGCCGUCCUUGAAAUACCACCCUUUAAUGGCUGGUGUUCUAACGUAGACCCGUAAUCCGGGUUGCGGACAGUGUCUGGUGGGUAGUUUGACUGGGGCGGUCUCCUCCCAAAGAGUAACGGAGGAGCACGAAGGUUAGCUAAUCCUGGUCGGACAUCAGGAGGUUAGUGCAAUGGCAUAAGCUAGCUUGACUGCGAGAGUGACGGCUCGAGCAGGUGCGAAAGCAGGUCAUAGUGAUCCGGUGGUUCUGAAUGGAAGGGCCAUCGCUCAACGGAUAAAAGGUACUCCGGGGAUAACAGGCUGAUACCGCCCAAGAGUUCAUAUCGACGGCGGUGUUUGGCACCUCGAUGUCGGCUCAUCACAUCCUGGGGCUGAAGUAGGUCCCAAGGGUAUGGCUGUUCGCCAUUUAAAGUGGUACGCGAGCUGGGUUUAGAACGUCGUGAGACAGUUCGGUCCCUAUCUGCCGUGGGCGCUGGAGAAUUGAGGGGGGCUGCUCCUAGUACGAGAGGACCGGAGUGGACGCAUCACUGGUGUUCGGGUUGUCAUGCCAAUGGCACUGCCCGGUAGCUAAAUGCGGAAAAGAUAAGUGCUGAAAGCAUCUAAGCACGAAACUUGCCCCGAGAUGAGUUCUCCCUGAGACUUUAAGUCUCCUGAAGGAACGUUGAAGACGACGACGUUGAUAGGUCGGGUGUGUAAGCGCAGCGAUGCGUUGAGCUAACCGAUACUAAUGAACCGUGAGGCUUAACCUU